CACUUAGAUGUUCUGGGCCGCACGCGCGCUACACUGACGAAUGCAACGAGCUUAUAACCUUGGCCGAAAGGUCUGGGUAAUCUCCAAAUUUCGUCGUGAUGGGGAUAGAUUAUUGCAAUUAUUAAUCUUCAACGAGGAAUGCCUAGUAAGCGCAAGUCAUCAGCUUGCGUUGAUUACGUCCCUGCCCUUUGUACACACCGCCCGUCGCUCCUACCGAUUGAAUGGUCCGGUGAAGCGCUCGGACCGCGGCCUCUUGACGGUUUUCCGUCGAUUGGCUGUGGGAAGUUCGUUAAACCUUAUCAUUUAGAGGAAGGAGAAGUCGUAACA
rnacentral:rRNA from 1 species